rnacentral:lncRNA from 1 species
CUAAGGCCCUUGAAAGCAAUCCUUUCAUAAAAGGCCCUGUUGACCCUGCACACAACCAGGCAGGGAGUCACAGAUUGGAGGAGCCAGAGGGACAUCAGGACACAGCUGAGCCAGACCCUGGGUGACUUUUGCAAGUUGAAGCAAUAGAUGAAGGUGCCCUAUACUCUUACUUCUCAGUCCAUCUCAUUUACACAAGUACAGACCCAGGGUGCAUCAAGGUCAGGCUCCUUGCCUCUCCUGCCUCCCAGGUGUCAGAGUGAGCAUGGGUAUGUUCAGGUGUGAGGAGGGGGGGGGGGGCCAUGUUCAUGAGCUGUAGCUGAGCUCUUCUGUCCUAGCCAGGGCUCCCUCAGGCAAGAGUCCCUACCAACCCCUGCAGCAGCUUCACCCCUGGAAGAAGGAAGCCUCAGAUCCUGACCUCACAUUCCCAGGUUUGAACACUAACCUAUACCAGAGACUUUCAGUACACCAUUUGAAUAGCGAGUCUAUUCCCAUCUCUUAUAACUAAGGCAAACCAGCCCCGUCACAGGUCUAUGAGGCCUGUGCCGCCCACACCACAUUUCAGUCUUCUGGAAAGUCUCUCUGUGGGCCUGUACUCCAAGGGAAGGC